UGGAGAUUAUUUGGAUGCCGCAAAACUUUCAUUCAUGAGAAGACAGGACCCAAACCAUGAUUCCAUAUGUUCCAAAUUGGGCCUAAAAUAUUUUUAAAUUACAUUUUGUGCAUCUUCACUCGUUAUAAAUGGAGUUGGACUAGUACAGCUUUUGCUGUUUUGAAUUAUUGCAAUUUGACUCUUCGACGAAACUGCAACUUUGUUCCCAAAGGCUACAAGGCUGAGGAACUUGACUUACUCUGCACCAUUGUAUGUGGGUGUCACAAAACAUGUCAUAAAGAAAGGGCAUGAUUGUGAAGAAGUCACAGAGACACAGGAGUUCACCAAAGUUUUCAUUGGGAAGGUUCCUAUAAUGCUGCGGUCUAGUUAUUUUACGUUGUACCAGAAUUCAGAAAAAGAUCUAACAGAACUCGGGGAAUGUCCAUAUGACCAAGGUGGAUAUUGUGACUGAUUCUGUCUUGUGCCUUACCAUGCUAGUGCUAAAGUUUGGCAUUCCUUAUGGUCUGCAGGGCUCUUCAGGGCAGUAUAUUCGGGCUACUCUUCCUUCUAUUUGGACAGAAAUGCCAAUAAUUAUUGUGUUUCGAGCAUUAGGGUUUGUUGCCGACAAGGAUAUAUUAGAGCAUAUAUGCUAUGACUUUUUUGAUACUCAGAUGAUGAAAUUAAUUCCAUCUAAUUCAAUUCCAUACCAUUUAACCCCGUGGUCCAUACUCAGUUAUUCUUAAGUAUUCACUGCAUGUUUUGUUGGCCAGAUUGUAGUUCUGAUUGGAAAAGGUCCUAGUGGCCUGGAUAUCUGUAGAGAUAUUUCAAAAUUAGCUAAAGAAGUCCAUCUAACAUCAAGAUCCAUAGAUGUUGAAGUUGCGAAGUUGGAGGGCCAUGAUAAUAUUUGGCAGAAUCCGAUGGAUUCAAGCAUUUGAAAUGAUGGCAAUUGCUAUGAUCGAAGUGUGAAAGAACUCUCAAGACAGAGAGCUAACAUUUCUGAAUUUUGCAACAAGGAGAUCAUCACUA